rnacentral:lncRNA from 1 species
UUUGGGUUGGAACGGACCUUAAAGAUCAUCCAAUUCCACACACCAUCCCAUGGGCACGGACACCUUCCAUCAGAACAGGCUGCUCAGAGCUUCAUCCAGCCUGGCCUUGAGAGGUUCAUUGUCUGGCAGCAAAACAUAGAAGGGUAGCAGUAGCACUAUCACCCCCCAACAGCUCAAUAACAUCCACCACAUCACUGCACCCCCAAAACUGCCAAGAGCUGCCAGGCCCUUCUUUGUGCCAACACUCCCAGCCUUCCUACCCACUGGCUGAGAUUUUCAGGUCAAGCCAAGUGUGGACUUCAGUGAAAGGGGAUGGCACCCCCAGACCAGGUUGGCCCCAUCCAACCUGGCCAGCCAAUGAAGAGACAUGCACAUGCAAAGAUAACAUGCAAAACCAAACCCUGGCUGAUAAAAAUGUUUGAAAAUGUUGUCUUCAGAUUUGCACAAGACGUUAAGCAAGAGUAACUUGUAAAUUGCUUCCAGCAACUUCAAGACAACAAGGGAACAAACAACUAUCAACAGGCAUUACACUCAUUUCUUCACACGAAAACAGUUAUGAGGCUGAAGGGAUCCUGACAGGCAAUUGGAAAGCAGUCCUUUUUAUGCUAAAUUUACUGUAUUUUAGUCCAAUUUUCCAUGAUUUAAAAUGUGCGAUGCAAUAAAGAGCUGGAAUGCCUUCUUUUGUCA